AGAGUUUGAUCCUGGCUCAGAUUGAACGCUGACGGCACGCUUAACACAUGCAAGUCGAACGGUUUAGUGGCUUCGGCCAUUGAGCAGUGGCGGACGGGUGAGUAACGCGUAGGAAUCUGCCUUCAUGAGGGGGACAACCUGGGGAAACCUGGGCUAAUACCGCAUAAAGUUGCCUGCAAGGGUAAUGAAAGUAUGCUUUGGCAUAUGCAUGAAGAGGAGCCUGCGUUGGAUUAGCUAGUUGGUAGGGUAAAGGCCUACCAAGGCGAUGAUCCAUAGCUGGUCUGAGAGGACGGACAGCCACACUGGGACUGAGAACGGCCCAGACUCCUACGGGAGGCAGCAGUGGGGAAUAUUGGACAAUGGGGGCAACCCUGAUCCAGCGAUGCCGUGUGUGUGAAGAAGGCCUGCGGGUUGUAAAGCACUUUUAUUGGGGAGGAAGAAGUGGAGAUGAAUAAGCUUCAUUUUUGACGUUACCCGAGGAAUAAGCACCGGCUAACUCUGUGCCAGCAGCCGCGGUAAUACAGAGGGUGCAAGCGUUAAUCGGAUUUACUGGGCGUAAAAGGGCGUGUAGGCGGUUGUAUGAGUCAAUGUGUGAAAGUUCCUGGGCUUAACCGAAGGGAUUGCACAUGAUACUGUAUGACUAGAGUGGUGUAGAGGGUAGUAGAAUUUCCAGUGUAGCGGUGAAAUGCGUAGAUAUUGGAAGGAAUACCGGUGGCGAAGGCGGCUACCUGGACACACACUGACGCUGAGGCGCGAAAGCGUGGGGAGCGAACAGGAUUAGAUACCCUGGUAGUCCACGCUGUAAACGAUGAGAACUAGCUGUUGGAGGGGUAAAGCCCUUUGGUAGCGAAGCUAACGCGAUAAGUUCUCCGCCUGGGGAGUACGGCCGCAAGGUUGAAACUCAAAGGAAUUGACGGGGGCCUGCACAAGCGGUGGAGCAUGUGGUUUAAUUCGAUGCAACGCGAAGAACCUUACCUACCUUUGACAUUGUGCGAACUUGGGUGAAAGCCUGGGGUGCCGAAAGGAGCGCACGAACAGGUGCUGCAUGGCUGUCGUCAGCUCGUGUCGUGAGAUGUUGGGUUAAGUCCCGUAACGAGCGCAACCCUUAUUCUUAGUUGCCAUCGGGUAAAGCUGGGCACUCUAAGGAGACUGCUGGUGAUGAACCGGAGGAAGGUGGGGAUGACGUCAAGUCCUCAUGGCCUUUAUAGGUAGGGCUACACACGUGCUACAAUGGGCAGUACAGCGGGAAGCGAAGUGGUGACACGGAGCGAAUCUUGAAAAGCUGCUCGUAGUCCGGAUUGGAGUCUGCAACUCGACUCCAUGAAGUCGGAAUCGCUAGUAAUCGCGGAUCAGCAUGCCGCGGUGAAUACGUUCUCGGGCCUUGUACACACCGCCCGUCACACCAUGGGAGUGGGUUGUACCAGAAGUAGGUAGCUUAACCGCAAGGGGGGCGCUUACCACGGUAUGAUUCAUGACUGGGGUGAAGUCGUAACAAGGUAACC
rnacentral:rRNA from 1 species